GCUCAGGAUAAACGCUGGCGGCGUGCCUAACACAUGCAAGUCGAACGCCCUGCGCAAGCAGGGAGUGGCGGACGGGUGAGGAACACGUGGGUCAUCUGCCCUGGGGUGAGGAAUACCGGCGAGAAAUCGCCGACAAUACCGCAUAGCUUCGCAAGAAGAAAGCUGGCAAGAGCGCCCGAGGAUGAGCCUGCGCUCGAUUAGUUGGUUGGUGGGGUAAUGGCCUACCAAGACCGCGAUCGAUAGCUGGUCUGAGAGGACGAUCAGCCACACUGGGAUUGAGAACGGCCCAGACUCCUACGGGGGGCAGCAGUGAGGAAUUUUCGUCAAUGGGGGCAACCCUGAACGAGCAACGCCGCGUGCAGGAAGACGGUUUUCGGAUCGUAAACUGCUUUUCUCUGGGACGAGAACGGACGGUACCAGAGGAAUCAGCCUCGGCUAACUACGUGCCAGCAGCCGCGGUAAUACGUAGGAGGCGAGCGUUGUCCGGAGUUACUGGGCGUAAAGCGCACGCAGGCGGUCAGGUUAGUCUGUGGUGACAGUCGUCGGCUCAACUGACGAAGUACUAUGGAAACUGUCUGACUUGAGGGCUUCAGAGGGACACGGAAUUCCGGGUGGAGUGGUGAAAUGCGUAGAUAUCCGGAGGAACACCAAAGGCGAAGGCAGUGUCCUGGGAAGUACCUGACGCUCAGGUGCGAAAGCUAGGGGAGCGAACAGGAUUAGAUACCCUGGUAGUCCUAGCCGUAAACGAUGACCACUAGACGUUGGGGGUAUCGACCCCUUCAGUGUCGUAGUUAACACAAUAAGUGGUCCGCCUGGGGAGUACGGUCGCAAGAUUAAAACUCAAAGGAAUUGACGGGGACCCGCACAAGCAGCGGAGCGUGUGGUUUAUUCGAUGCAACGCGAAGAACCUUACCAAGGCUUGACAUGAACUUGCACCAGCCGUAACGGGCUGUCCCUUCGGGGCGGGUUCACAGGUGCUGCAUGGCUGUCGUCAGCUCGUGUCGUGAGAUGUUGGGUUAAGUCCCGCAACGAGCGCAACCCCUGUCGUUAGUUGGAUUUUUCUAGCGAAACUGCCGUUAUAAGACGGAGGAAGGCGGGGAUGACGUCAAGUCAGCACGGCCCUUACGCUUUGGGCGACACACACGCUACAAUGGUCAGGACAAAGAGUUGCGAACCCGCGAGGGGGAGCUAAUCUCGUCAAACCUGGCCUCAGUUCAGAUUGGAGGCUGCAACCCGCCUCCAUGAAGUUGGAGUUGCUAGUAACCGUAGGUCAGCACACUACGGUGAAUACGUUCCCGGGUCUUGUACACACCGCCCGUCACACCACGAAAGUUGGCAACACUUGAAGCCGCUGGGCUAACCCAUCUGGGAGGCAAGCGUCAA
rnacentral:rRNA from 1 species